rnacentral:rRNA from 1 species
UACGUAGGGGGCAAGCGUUGUCCGGAUUUAUUGGGCGUAAAGAGCGUGUAGGCGGCCAGGUAGGUCUGCUGUGAAAACUCGAGGCUUAACCUCGAGCUGUCGGCGGAAACCAUCUGGCUAGAGUCCGGAAGAGGAGAAUGGAAUUCCCGGUGUAGCGGUGAAAUGCGCAGAUAUCGGGAAGAACACCCGUGGCGAAGGCGGCUCACUGGACCACAACUGACGCUGAGGCGCGAAAGCUAGGGGAGCAAACAGG